GCGACGCUCACGUCUCCUGCCGUAAAGGCUGUGUGUCUGGCGCGUGCGCGUCUCCUUCUUUUUUCGGAUUUCCGACGCGGUUGCUGCAGUUGCCUGAAGUGUGUUGCCCGGGCUGUCGCCAUGGUGAAGCUGAGCAAAGAGGCCAAGCAGAGGCUGCAGCAGCUUUUCAAGGGAGGCCAGUUUGCCAUCCGUUGGGGCUUUAUUCCUCUCGUGAUAUACCUGGGAUUUAAGAGGGGUGCAGAUCCUGGAAUGCCUGAACCAACUGUUUUGAGGUACCGUUCUUACAAAUAAGCAUUGCAAGGCAAACAUUCAUACAUUAGUACUAAGUCAUGGCAAGCAAAAGAGAAAUAGUGCUUACUUUGGGGAUAAAGGACUAUUUGGUCAUCUGGUUUUGGAAGCAAUCAAUGCAGAGGAACAACAUGGAAGGUGUGCGCUGUGGCUGGGAUAAGAGAUGGGACAUCGUUCAGACGUUCACCAGUUGGAUGGCACAGGGCUCUUACUUCUCAGAUGCGUCUGUGGCAGAGUGGAACCUCUACUGACUUAUUUAUGAUAGACUGUAUUAAAAUAAAUGUUUUUUAACAAUGUUA